GACGAACCGUACGAACGUUAUUCGGAAUCACUGGGCUUAAAGGGUGCGUAGGCGGUGCGGUAAGUUGGGUGUGAAAUCUCUCGGCUCAACCGAGAAAUUGCGCCCAAAACUACCGUGCUCGAGGGAGACAGAGGUGAGUGGAACUUAGGGUGGAGCGGUGAAAUGCGUUGAUAUCCUAAGGAACACCAGUGGCGAAAGCGACUCACUGGGUCUCUUCUGACGCUGAGGCACGAAAGCUAGGGGAGCAAACGGG
rnacentral:ncRNA from 2 species